CUUUGCCAACCUGGUAAGGCCAAGCCUUGGUCUCCGACCCACGGCUCUGAUUCUCUGCCUGGGGCUGAUCUAGCUGAGCCAUCGCAAUCAAUUCCUCCUGUCUGGCUCCCGAACUCAUACUGUGCUUAUGGAGCAGCCUCAGACCUUUGCACAUUGGGGUUAUUUGGGGAUCCAUCCCCACUUAUCUCUUUAUUAAAGCAAAAAUAAAACAACAAACAAACACCCCCCCAUCCCCCGAAACAAAAACAACCAAAAAACGACGCCCCCCCCAAAAAAAAAAAAAAACAAACCAACACAACAAAAUUAGAAUCAAAUCCUCUAAGACGUGCAGAACCAUCAACCUUUAACUUGGAAAAAGUUUAUUUUCAAGCAGUUAUUCAGUCCCAGUGAUCUAAAAUGCUGCGUGGCUUACAACCUCGAAACCAUGGAAAUUUCUGUUUGGAUAAUAGCCCAGAUCAAACAAUUUUCUGGCGAGCACCUCCCAGUUGAAGAUUGUUUUGUUUCUAGUGAAAUAAUUUAAGGAUUUUUAUUUUGUUUUACAACCAACAACACUGUAACAACAAGCUGUGCCUGUGCUGGACACUUUUGAAGAACAGUGGUGCAAGGAUGUGAAAGCUCCUCUGUGAAAUUCCGGGUUCUCAGUGUGAAGGAACAAGGUGUAUUUUUAAGUGCAGCAGCCAGUACUUGGCAUUUUUGCAGCUCUUUUUACAAGAAGUUGGUCAGCACUGAGCAGGAUUGCCUAGGAGACACAGAGCGGCAGAACUACUGGGCUGGCUCUGUGUUGCUGGAUGAGGGUGAGAAAAGGAAUGGAACAAGCUCAGCAAAGAAAUUUGUUUUCAAGUCUAACAAUGAAUAAAGAUCUCCAGCUGCAAAUCUUACGAGCCUCUGAACAUGGGAACAGAAGCAGGGAAGAAUAUAGCACUUUUUUGUGCUUCAGUGACUAGCAGAAAGAUAAGAAAUUUAAGGACUGGUCAAGUCAAUGUGCAUGUGUCUAGUAUGCUUUUCUCUGUCAGUCUACAUGAACGGACAUUUCAGGCCUCAAAUGCUCUUUGGGCCCAAUUAGGCAGUGGUAAUUUACUUGGUGCCACUGCUGUCACUUUCAUUUUGAUGCUCUUGUAAAUAAAUUCCUUAAAAAAGGGGCAGUGAUUAUUUAUUCAAGCCUGAAAUUUUCAGAACUCUUGCUUUAUGGCAAAAUAAUCAAAUGUCAAACUCUGACCUGACUUGGCACUCUGCACAGUUACAUACUGAAAUACAUGUGCACAUAUGUAGCAUUAAAAACAGUUAUCAGAGGAGGGGGGCAGGCACCAUGCUGGCCCCUGGCAAGGUCAGGAAAAUGCGACAAGAGGGGAUAUCUUCCCCUGGAGCUGACACAUCAUCAUCCCUGCUCAGUGCUGUGAGAGGACACUAGCCAGAAGAUGCAAUAGACUCUGUUUUGCACCUCUUGCAACCCAUUUACACCUGACUGAAGAGAAAGGGAAGUGUAAAAUGCCACCCACUUUGCACAGAUGGAAAUGACUGCAUAUGGAGAAGGUGCUGAAGGAAGCAGGCUGGAGGGAGGGAGGUAUCACCCAUGUAUCGUUAACCUAAAGAGCUGCACACCGAGAUCUGCAGAUGUGGAAGUGCUAGAGAAGGCUUCUGGAGGACCAACUAUCAAGACUGCAGGGCUCAAACUGUGCUCAUGCAAUUACAACCUGUCCAAUUUCACCUCUGUGGUACUAGUUUUAUGAGUUUCAUAAACUCUCAGCCUGGAGGGGACAACUGUGAUUUUCUUACUUUUUAAUUGUGAUAUUAUUAUUUUUCUCAGCAAUUUUGAUUCUGAACAUGAAAAUUAUGUUUGAGGUACACUUUAAA